rnacentral:rRNA from 1 species
UGAGGAAUAUUGGACAAUGGAUGGAAAUCUGAUCCAGCCAUGCCGCGUGCAGGAAGACGGCCCUAUGGGUUGUAAACUGCUUUUGUAUGGGAGCAAUAAGGACUACGUGUAGUCUGAUGAGAGUACCAUACGAAUAAGCAUCGGCUAACUCCGUGCCAGCAGCCGCGGUAAUACGGAGGAUGCGAGCGUUAUCCGGAUUUAUUGGGUUUAAAGGGUGCGUAGGCGGCGAUAUAAGUCAGUGGUGAAAUAUUUCGGCUUAACCGAGAGACUGCCAUUGAUACUGUGUUGCUAGAAUAUGGUUGCUGUGAGUGGAAUGUGUGGUGUAGCGGUGAAAUGCUUAGAUAUCACACAGAAUAUCGAUUGCGAAGGCAGCUCACAAAGCCAUUAUUGACGCUGAGGCACGAAAGUGUGGGGAUCAAACA